rnacentral:rRNA from 1 species
AGAGUUUGAUCAUGGCUCAGAACGAACGCUGGCGGCAGGCCUAAAACAUGCAAGUCGAACGGGUGUAGCAAUACAUCAGUGGCGCACGGGUGAGUAACGCGUGGGAACAUGCCCCUUAGUACGGGACAACGUCGGGAAACUGACGCUAAUACCGUAUAAUAUCUCCGGAUCAAAGAUUUAUCGCUGAGGGAGUGGCCCGCGUCUGAUUAGCUAGUUGGUGAGGUAAUGGCUCACCAAGGCUACGAUCAGUAGCAGGUCUGAGAGGAUGAUCUGCCACACUGGGACUGAGACACGGCCCAGACUCCUACGGGAGGCAGCAGUUAGGAAUAUUGGACAAUGGGGGAAACCCUGAUCCAGCCAUGCCGCGUGUGUGAUGAAGGCCCUAGGGUUGUAAAGCACUUUCGUUGGGGAUGAUAAUGACCGUACCCAAAGAAGAAGCCACGGCUAAAUUCGUGCCAGCAGCCGCGGUAAUACGAAUGUGGCAAGCGUUGUUCGGAAUCACUGGGCGUAAAGAAUGCGUAGGCGGCUUAACAAGUCAGGAGUGAAAUCCCAGGGCUCAACCCUGGAACUGCUCUUGAAACUGUUUUGCUAGAGUCCCGGAGGGGUUAGCGGAAUUCCGAGUGUAGAGGUGAAAUUCGCAGAUAUUCGGAGGAACACCAGUGGCGAAGGCGGCUAACUGGACGGGAACUGACGCUGAGGUAUGAAAGUGUGGGGAUCAAACAGGAUUAGAUACCCUGGUAGUCCACACC